UACGGAGGGUGCGAGCGUUGUCCGGAAUCAUUGGGCGUAAAGGGCGCGUAGGUGGCCCGGUGAGUCUUUGGUGAAAGCGCGGGGCUCAACCCUGCGUCGGCCAGGGAUACUGGCGCGGCUCGAGCACUGUAGAGGCAGGCGGAAUUCCGGGUGUAGCGGUGGAAUGCGUAGAGAUCCGGAAGAACACCGGUGGCGAAGGCGGCCUGCUGGGCAGUGGCUGACGCUGAGGCGCGACAGCGUGGGGAGCAAACAGG
rnacentral:rRNA from 1 species